rnacentral:rRNA from 1 species
CCUACGGGUGGCAGCAGUAGGGAAUUUUGCGCAAUGAGCGAAAGCCUGACGCAGCAACGCCGCGUGAUCGAGACGCCCUUCGGGGUGUAAAGAUCUGUCAGUGGGGACGAAACUUGCCGGUACCCACAGAGGAAGCACCGGCUAACUCCGUGCCAGCAGCCGCGGUAAUACGGGGGUGGAAGGUGUUGCCGGGAUCGGUGGGCUGUAAGGGUUUGGUGGGGGGCCGUAAAGGCAGGUGGUAAAGGCAGGGGGACAAAUUCUGUACGGACCUGGAUACUUGCGAGCUAGAAUGCGGUAGAGGUAAAGGGAAUUCCUGGUGUAGCGGUGAAAUGCUUAGAUAUCAGGAGGAACACCGAUGGCGAAGGCGCUUUACUGGGCCGUAAUUGACGCUGAGGAACGAAAGCCAGGGUAGCAAAUGGGAUUAGAUACCCCAGUAGUC